UACGUAGGGACCGAGGGUUGUCCGGAAUCAUUGGGCGUAAAGAGCGUGUAGGCGGCCACUUAAGUCCUGCGUGAAAUCUUGCGGCUCAACCGCAAGCGGUCGUGGGAAACUGGGUGGCUAGAGUGCGGGAGAGGAGAGUGGAAUUCCUGGUGUAGCGGUGGAAUGCGCAGAUAUCAGGAAGAACACCCGUGGCGAAGGCGGCUCUCUGGAACGCAACUGACGCUGAGACGCGAAAGCGUGGGGAGCAAACAGG
rnacentral:rRNA from 1 species